rnacentral:rRNA from 1 species
AUUGAACGCUGGCGGCAGGCUUAACACAUGCAAGUCGAGCGGGGAAAUGUAGCUUGCUACAUUACCUAGCGGCGGACGGGUGAGUAAUGCUUAGGAAUCUGCCUAUUAGUGGGGGACAACAUCUCGAAAGGGAUGCUAAUACCGCAUACGUCCUACGGGAGAAAGCAGGGGACCUUCGGGCCUUGCGCUAAUAGAUGAGCCUAAGUCGGAUUAGCUAGUUGGUGGGGUAAAGGCCUACCAAGGCGACGAUCUGAAGCGGGUCUGAGAGGAUGAUCCGCCACACUGGGACUGAGACACGGCCCAGACUCCUACGGGAGGCAGCAGUGGGGAAUAUUGGACAAUGGGGGGAACCCUGAUCCAGCCAUGCCGCGUGUGUGAAGAAGGCCUUUUGGUUGUAAAGCACUUUAAGCGAGGAGGAGGCUACCGAGAUUAAUACUCUUGGAUAGUGGACGUUACUCGCAGAAUAAGCACCGGCUAACUCUGUGCCAGCAGCCGCAGUAAGAC